rnacentral:antisense_RNA from 1 species
CGCGUGGCGCCUCUAUAUUUCCCCGAGAGGUGCGAGGCGGCUGGGCGCACUCGGAGCGCGAUGGGCGACUGGAAGGUCUACAUCAGUGCAGUGCUGCGGGACCAGCGCAUCGACGACGUGGCCAUCGUGGGCCAUGCGGACAACAGCUGCGUGUGGGCUUCGCGGCCCGGGGGCCUGCUGGCGGCCAUCUCGCCGCAGGAGGCAAGUGUUGGGAAGGGAAUUAAUUGUGGUGGUGCCGAAGACCUGGGUUAGGAUGAGGAGAUGGUAUCUUGGAGGAAGGAAGGUGGCAAGGAGGUGCCCGGGACUCCGACUCUGCAGGACAUUGAUGAGCACCACGAAGGCCAGCAGGGCCCCGAAGGGCGUGCCCACACCUACCAUGACCUGCCAGCCUGCCAUGGAGAUGCCAAACACCAGUGAGGGCAGCAGCAGGAAGCAGACAAGGAGAUAGAGGACGGCAAACCAGCGGUACUUGGCCGUGCGUUUCCCCAGCGCCUUGGCCAUGCGGAUGGGCAGGCGUGUGCAGGGCACCGGGUACCACAGAAGGAUACCCGAGAUGUUGAAGAAGAAGUGACAGAGGGCAAUCUGCAGGGGAUGAGGCAGAGGGGCUGAGAUGGGCACUGGCUCCCAGGUCCUGUGUCAGGCCAGCAGGGGUAGAUGAUAGGAACCCCGAUCUGGUCUGGGCAGCAGGAAAGUUUCCACUUAGGGGUGAUGUGCCCCCUGCCCCGAGAUCACCCCGAGGUGGCUAUGCUGGCUAUGCAAAUAUUGAAAUACUUCUAGACC